GACGAACGCUGGCGGCGUGCUUAACACAUGCAAGUCGAACGGAAAGGCUCUUCUUUUGUUGGGCUCUCGAGUGGCGAACGGGUGAGUAACACGUGAGUAACCUGCCCUUGACUUUGUGAUAACUUCAGGAAACUGGGGCUAAUACCGGAUAUGAGCUCCUGCUGCAUGGUGGGGGUUGGAAAGUUUCGGCGGUUGGUGAUGGACUCGCGGCUUAUCAGCUUGUUGGUGGGGGAGUGGCUUACCAAGGCUUUGACGGGUAGCCGGCCUGAGAGGGUGACCGGCCACAUGGGGACUGAGAGACGGCCCAGACUCCUACGGGAGGCAGCAGGGGGGAAUAUUGCACAAUGGGCGGAAGCCUGAUGCAGCAACGCCGCGUGCGGGAUGACGGCCUUCGGGUUGUAAACCGAUUUCGCCUGUGACGAAGCGUGAGUGACGGUAAUGGGUAAAGAAGCAACGGCUAACUACGUG
rnacentral:rRNA from 1 species